rnacentral:rRNA from 1 species
UGGGGAAUAUUGGACAAUGGGCGCAAGCCUGAUCCAGCCAUGCCGCGUGAGUGACGAAGGUCUUCGGAUUGUAAAGCACUUUAAGUUGGGAGGAAGGGCAGUUACCUAAUACGUAUCUGUUUUGACGUUACCGACAGAAUAAGCACCGGCUAACUCUGUGCCAGCAGCCGCGGUAAUACAGAGGGUGCAAGCGUUAAUCGGAAUUACUGGGCGUAAAGCGCGCGUAGGUGGUUUGUUAAGUUGGAUGUGAAAUCCCCGGGCUCAACCUGGGAACUGCAUUCAAAACUGACAAGCUAGAGUAUGGUAGAGGGUGGUGGAAUUUCCUGUGUAGCGGUGAAAUGCGUAGAUAUAGGAAGGAACACCAGUGGCGAAGGCGACCACCUGGACUGAUACUGACACUGAGGUGCGAAAGCGUGGGGAGCAAACAGGAUUAGAUACCCCAGUAGUCCCUGAGCGGGCUGGCAAGGCGCAU